rnacentral:misc_RNA from 1 species
GAAAUGCGAUAAGUAGUGUGAAUUGCAGAAUUCAGUGAAUCAUCGAAUCUUUGAACGCACCUUGCGCUCCUUGGUAUUCCGAGGAGCAUGCCUGUUUGAGUGUCAUGGAAUUCUCAACUCUAUUUGCUUUUGUGAAUAGAGCUUGGAUUUGGCGGUUUAUUGCUGGUACUUGUGAUCGGCUCCUCUUGAAUGCAUUAGCUCGAACCUUUGCGGAUCAGCUAUCGGUGUGAUAAUUGUCUACGCCGUUGCAGUGAAGCAUAUCAAUGGGCUCGGCUUCCAAUCGUCCUUUACUGGACAAUGACUUUGACCUUUGACCUCAAAUCAGGUAGGAUUACCCGCUGAACUUAAGC